UAUGUAGGUGGCGAGCGUUGUCCGGAUUUACUGGGCGUAAAGGGAGCGUAGGCGGACUUUUAAGUGAGAUGUGAAAUACCCGGGCUCAACUUGGGUGCUGCAUUUCAAACUGGGAGUCUAGAGUGCAGGAGAGGAGAAUGGAAUUCCUAGUGUAGCGGUGAAAUGCGUAGAGAUUAGGAAGAACACCAGUGGCGAAGGCGAUUCUCUGGACUGUAACUGACGCUGAGGCUCGAAAGCGUGGGGAGCAAACAGGAUUAGAUA
rnacentral:rRNA from 1 species